rnacentral:misc_RNA from 1 species
GUCUGCACGGGAUAGGCUGGGGCCGGUGGCUCGAGCGCAGGGGUGACGUCACGUUCCUAUCUUUUCAUACCAACCUAAAUAAAAAACAAGGCUGCAAUUCUCGGACCUUUUAAUCCACAGUAAUAGUCAAAAUAAUACAAAUAUAUGCUUUUUGGAAUCUUAAAAUGUUCACACGUAUUUCAAGUGGCAGGUGAUGAUCGUGUACGUUAAUUUAAAACCAUCACUCGAAAGUCGUUCGGGGUGAUGCGCGAGGUUGCAUCACUGCGUUAUUUGAGUUGCUCCAGCAACAGAAAGAAGCGUCCUUUUCCGCGCUGCUCAUCGUCACAUCAACAUUGGAGGACUUUUUGGUCAUUUUCUGAAAAUGCCGACUGGUGGUUCUUAUGAUACUGCGAGAUGCUGGGUCCCAGGAUGCGUAAACCAGAAGAUUCCGGACAGGUUCAACACAACCGUCAAGUUGUUCAAGUUUCCUGCUGCGGACUUGCCUAGAUGCAGGAAAUGGCUGAAAGCUGUGGGCUCGACGUACUUGCUUUCCCUCACCACCCAACAGGUGAAAGCCAAGUUCAUUUGCUGUGCACAUUUUCGUGACUACGAAAUCAGGAAGAACAAAGUCAAAACUACAUUGGUGACUUCUGCCUUCCCUUCACAAUUCCCGCCUGAAGUGUGUCCCCUUCCUGAUGAACUGGUGGAGCAAUGGCCUCAGAGUAUGGCGAAGGAGAAUCAGUGUGGAAGGGAGCUCGACUCCAGUGAAUGUCAGCUUCAAACUUCUCUGUCUGCGUCAACUCCGAGACCCCUUCAGAUACUUGGACUCAAUCAAGUGUCGGCUGCCGGAGUGCAUGCUGGAGGUUCAUCUCAGCAGGCAUCCUUGAAGCCUGACUCUGGUUCAAAGAUGAAUGUUGACAUUCACUUUCUGGAUGAUCCAAGGGUUAAAUAUUUAUUUUUCAGGCCUCCCACAUGGGAGUCACGUGAGUAGAAUUCCAUCUACUAACAUUAAUUCAAGGGUUUACUAAAAUUCUGUCUGAAAAAUUCGCAGUUGACAGCCAGUGGGAGCUCGUGAACUUGGUUUUGUACCGCCACAAGGAAGACAGAGGUUUUCUUCGUGCCAUCUCAGCUAAUCUGAAAGUCGAGCCACCACGGUGCACAGUGGUAGUGGUGCAGUAAAUGUCAGCGGGUGGCAGUUGA